rnacentral:rRNA from 1 species
AUUGAACGCUGGCGGCAGGCUUAACACAUGCAAGUCGAGCGGGGGAAGGGAGCUUGCUACUGGACCUAGCGGCGGACGGGUGAGUAAUGCUUAGGAAUCUGCCUAUUAGUGGGGGACAACAUCUCGAAAGGGAUGCUAAUACCGCAUACGUCCUACGGGAGAAAGCAGGGGAUCUUCGGACCUUGCGCUAAUAGAUGAGCCUAAGUCGGAUUAGCUAGUUGGUGGGGUAAAGGCCUACCAAGGCGACGAUCUGUAGCGGGUCUGAGAGGAUGAUCCGCCACACUGGGACUGAGACACGGCCCAGACUCCUACGGGAGGCAGCAGUGGGGAAUAUUGGACAAUGGGGGGAACCCUGAUCCAGCCAUGCCGCGUGUGUGAAGAAGGCCUUAUGGUUGUAAAGCACUUUAAGCGAGGAGGAGGCUACUUUAGUUAAUACCUAGAGAUAGUGGACGUUACUCGCAGAAUAAGCACCGGCUAACUCUGUGCCAGCCGCCGCCGUAA